GAAAAGUUCAUUCUUUCCUAUGGAUAAAGCCUGGAAUUACAACAACCACUGCAGACAAUAAUUGUCCUCAGAAAAUAAAUAUCCAGUCUCCAGUUCUUUCAUCUAGCAAAGAUCUCUGAUAACAGGCUCCCUGUUCCUCAACCUAUCUCCCAAGUCCCCCAAUUUACAGAAUAUUGGAUAACACAAUGACAGUCAUUACAGCCCUCCUUCAGGAUUUUAUGUACACUCAAUGAACACCCCUGUGCGGUAGCCAUAUUGGCUUUCAACUAUGGUUCCCAGAAACAGGUACUCCUA